UGUGUAGGCGGAACUUUAAGUCAGUGGUGAAAUCUUUCAGCUCAACUGGAAAACUGCCAUUGAUACUGGUUUUCUUGAAUAUAGUUGAGGUAGGCGGAAUGUGUAAUGUAGCGGUGAAAUGCUUAGAUAUUACACAGAACACCAAUUGCGUAGGCAGCUUACUGGACCUACACUGACGCUGAGGCACGAAAGCGUGGGGAGCGAACAGGAUUAGAUACCCUGGUAGUC
rnacentral:rRNA from 1 species